UUUCCGUAGGUGAACCUGCGGAAGGAUCAUUACAGAGUUCAUGCCCAAAAGUGUAGACCUCCCACCCUUGUGUAUUAUUACUUUGUUGCUUUGGAGACCGCAAGCACGCCAUAGAAUAUCAAAACUCUUUUUAUUAAUGUCGUCUGAAUACUAUAUAAUAGUUAAAACUUUCAACAACGGAUCUCUUGGUUCUG
rnacentral:misc_RNA from 1 species